UUAAGCGACUAAGCGUACACGGUGGAUGCCCUGGCAGUCAGAGGCGAUGAAGGACGUGCUAAUCUGCGAUAAGCGUCGGUAAGGUGAUAUGAACCGUUAUAACCGGCGAUUUCCGAAUGGGGAAACCCAGUGUGUUUCGACACACUAUCAUUAACUGAAUCCAUAGGUUAAUGAGGCGAACCGGGGGAACUGAAACAUCUAAGUACCCCGAGGAAAAGAAAUCAACCGAGAUUCCCCCAGUAGCGGCGAGCGAACGGGGAGGAGCCCAGAGCCUGAAUCAGUGUGUGUGUUAGUGGAAGCGUCUGGAAAGGCGCGCGAUACAGGGUGACAGCCCCGUACACAAAAAUGCACAUGCUGUGAGCUCGAUGAGUAGGGCGGGACACGUGGUAUCCUGUCUGAAUAUGGGGGGACCAUCCUCCAAGGCUAAAUACUCCUGACUGACCGAUAGUGAACCAGUACCGUGAGGGAAAGGCGAAAAGAACCCCGGCGAGGGGAGUGAAAAAGAACCUGAAACCGUGUACGUACAAGCAGUGGGAGCACAGAGCAAUCUGUGUGACUGCGUACCUUUUGUAUAAUGGGUCAGCGACUUAUAUUCUGUAGCAAGGUUAACCGAAUAGGGGAGCCGAAGGGAAACCGAGUCUUAACUGGGCGUUAAGUUGCAGGGUAUAGACCCGAAACCCGGUGAUCUAGCCAUGGGCAGGUUGAAGGUUGGGUAACACUAACUGGAGGACCGAACCGACUAAUGUUGAAAAAUUAGCGGAUGACUUGUGGCUGGGGGUGAAAGGCCAAUCAAACCGGGAGAUAGCUGGUUCUCCCCGAAAGCUAUUUAGGUAGCGCCUCGUGAAUUCAUCUCCGGGGGUAGAGCACUGUUUCGGCAAGGGGGUCAUCCCGACUUACCAACCCGAUGCAAACUGCGAAUACCGGAGAAUGUUAUCACGGGAGACACACGGCGGGUGCUAACGUCCGUCGUGAAGAGGGAAACAACCCAGACCGCCAGCUAAGGUCCCAAAGUCAUGGUUAAGUGGGAAACGAUGUGGGAAGGCCCAGACAGCCAGGAUGUUGGCUUAGAAGCAGCCAUCAUUUAAAGAAAGCGUAAUAGCUCACUGGUCGAGUAGGCCUGCGCGGAAGAUGUAACGGGGCUAAACCAUGCACCGAAGCUGCGGCAGCGACACUGUGUGUUGUUGGGUAGGGGAGCGUUCUGUAAGCCUGUGAAGGUGUGCUGUGAGGCAUGCUGGAGGUAUCAGAAGUGCGAAUGCUGACAUAAGUAACGAUAAAGCGGGUGAAAAGCCCGCUCGCCGGAAGACCAAGGGUUCCUGUCCAACGUUAAUCGGGGCAGGGUGAGUCGACCCCUAAGGCGAGGCCGAAAGGCGUAGUCGAUGGGAAACAGGUUAAUAUUCCUGUACUUGGUGUUACUGCGAAGGGGGGACGGAGAAGGCUAUGUUGGCCGGGCGACGGUUGUCCCGGUUUAAGCGUGUAGGCUGGUUUUCCAGGCAAAUCCGGAAAAUCAAGGCUGAGGCGUGAUGACGAGGCACUACGGUGCUGAAGCAACAAAUGCCCUGCUUCCAGGAAAAGCCUCUAAGCAUCAGGUAACAUCAAAUCGUACCCCAAACCGACACAGGUGGUCAGGUAGAGAAUACCAAGGCGCUUGAGAGAACUCGGGUGAAGGAACUAGGCAAAAUGGUGCCGUAACUUCGGGAGAAGGCACGCUGAUAUGUAGGUGAAGUCCCUCGCGGAUGGAGCUGAAAUCAGUCGAAGAUACCAGCUGGCUGCAACUGUUUAUUAAAAACACAGCACUGUGCAAACACGAAAGUGGACGUAUACGGUGUGACGCCUGCCCGGUGCCGGAAGGUUAAUUGAUGGGGUCAGCGCAAGCGAAGCUCUUGAUCGAAGCCCCGGUAAACGGCGGCCGUAACUAUAACGGUCCUAAGGUAGCGAAAUUCCUUGUCGGGUAAGUUCCGACCUGCACGAAUGGCGUAAUGAUGGCCAGGCUGUCUCCACCCGAGACUCAGUGAAAUUGAACUCGCUGUGAAGAUGCAGUGUACCCGCGGCAAGACGGAAAGACCCCGUGAACCUUUACUAUAGCUUGACACUGAACAUUGAGCCUUGAUGUGUAGGAUAGGUGGGAGGCUUUGAAGUGUGGACGCCAGUCUGCAUGGAGCCGACCUUGAAAUACCACCCUUUAAUGUUUGAUGUUCUAACGUGGACCCGUGAUCCGGGUUGCGGACAGUGUCUGGUGGGUAGUUUGACUGGGGCGGUCUCCUCCUAAAGAGUAACGGAGGAGCACGAAGGUUGGCUAAUCCUGGUCGGACAUCAGGAGGUUAGUGCAAUGGCAUAAGCCAGCUUGACUGCGAGCGUGACGGCGCGAGCAGGUGCGAAAGCAGGUCAUAGUGAUCCGGUGGUUCUGAAUGGAAGGGCCAUCGCUCAACGGAUAAAAGGUACUCCGGGGAUAACAGGCUGAUACCGCCCAAGAGUUCAUAUCGACGGCGGUGUUUGGCACCUCGAUGUCGGCUCAUCACAUCCUGGGGCUGAAGUAGGUCCCAAGGGUAUGGCUGUUCGCCAUUUAAAGUGGUACGCGAGCUGGGUUUAGAACGUCGUGAGACAGUUCGGUCCCUAUCUGCCGUGGGCGCUGGAGAACUGAGGGGGGCUGCUCCUAGUACGAGAGGACCGGAGUGGACGCAUCACUGGUGUUCGGGUUGUCAUGCCAAUGGCACUGCCCGGUAGCUAAAUGCGGAAGAGAUAAGUGCUGAAAGCAUCUAAGCACGAAACUUGCCCCGAGAUGAGUUCUCCCUGACCCUUUAAGGGUCCUGAAGGAACGUUGAAGACGACGACGUUGAUAGGCCGGGUGUGUAAGCGCAGCGAUGCGUUGAGCUAACCGGUACUAAUGAACCGUGAGGCUUAACCUU
rnacentral:rRNA from 1 species